rnacentral:sRNA from 1 species
CUUGCCUACUUCCUUGUGCCCACCGGAGUCGAGCUCCGUCAGUGCGUGAUUCUUGCCAAUCGCUAAACGUAGGACUCGAGGAAGGCCAUUGGCAAUUCUGCUGAGAAGACAGUGCAAGUGCCUAUAAAAACGACAGUUUAGGGGGAAAACAAACCAAUACCCGGAAAGCUGAGAGGCCAGCUUUUUAAUCGUCAUGGUUUUAUGUAAAAUAAAACAGCAAGUGGAAGGUAUUGUAAGCCCUAGAGGGAGUCUCGCCCUGUUGCCCAGGCUGGAGUGCCAUGGCGUGAUCUCGGCUCACUGCAACAUCCGCCUCCCAGGUUCAAGGAAUUCUUCUGCCUCAGCCUCCCGAGUAGCUGGGACUACAGGCACAUGCCGCCACUCCCGGCUAAUUUUUUAUUUUUUAUUUUUAUUUUUAUUUUAGUAGAGACUGGGUUGCACCAUGUUGCCCAGGCUGGUCUCGAACUCCUGAGCUCAGGCAAUCCGCCCGCCUCGGCCUCCCAGAGUGCUAGGAUUACAGGCGUGAGCCACCACGCCUGACUGAUUCUGUUUUAUGUAUAGUAUUUAGAUAGUGAAAAUCACUCCCCAGGGGUGUUGUGAGUAAUUAGAAGGUAAGCAUAAAGAUAGAAAAAAAUUAUGACCCUUUAUCGUAGAGUUAUGCUCACUGUGUGCCAGGGAUGUGGUCUUACCACAUUUGGCAGGGUCUUUUCGUUUCAUUUCGUUUCGUUUCGUUUCAUUGCCUUGCCUUGCCUUUCUUUUCUCUUUUCUUUUUUUCUUUUCUUCUUUUUUCUUUUCUUUUCUUUCCUU